rnacentral:ncRNA from 1 species
AUAAAAUUUUAUUCUAGUUUUAUUAUUAAAUGUUUUAAUAAUUUUACAUGUAAAUUUUUGUGUGAAUUAAAGUUUUUAAAUAAAGAUUUGUUUAUUCGCAGUAUUUAAUAUUUUUUAUAAAGUAAAUUUUGAUUAAAUGAUUAAUUUAGUAUAAACAAAAUUUGUGCCAGCAGUUGCGGUUACACAAAUUAUGCAAUUUAAUAUUUUUGGAUUCAUAAUAAUUAUUUAAGUUGUUUUAUUACAAAUAUUUUAAGGUGAAAUUUUAAUUUUUGUUAAAUGUAAUUUUAGUUAGUUUUAUAGAAAAAUUUAGGUUUAAAACUAGGAUUAGAUACCCUAUUAUUCUAAAUGUAUUUUGUUUUUCUAAAGAAGUAUUAGUUAUGUUCUUGAAAUUUAAAGAUUUUGGCGGUAUUUUAGUCUUUUCAGAGGAACCUGUUCUGUAAUUGACAAUCCACGAUUAAUUAAACUUAAAUUAGAAGUUUGUAUAUCGUUGUGGUUUUGAAUAUUUUAAAAGAAUUAAAUGUUCACCUUUUUUUAUAAAAAUUGAUAUCAGAUCAAGGUGCAGCUUAUAUUUAAGGAGAAAUGGGUUACUUAUAAAUUGAUUUAUGAAUUUAAAAUUAAAAAUUUUUUUGAAAUUGGAUUUGAAAGUAAUUAAAUGUAUAUUCUUUUAAUGAUUUAGCUCUAAAAUAUGCACAUAUCGCCCGUCGCUUUCAUUAAAAUGAAAUAAGUCGUAACAAAGUAGAUUUACCGGAAGGUGAAUCUAGACUCAA